rnacentral:lncRNA from 1 species
ACAGAAAUUUGGACAAGGAAAAGAUCAUUUCCACCUGUGAAAACCAGAGCACCUGAAAGUACCAUACAGAAGGUAGCAUUUGAAUUGGGCUUUGAAGGAUGGGUAGAAUUCUGACAAGCAGAAAAGAAGAAAGGGAAGUCCUGAUGAAAAGAACAACAUGAACCGAGGUACCAGAAUAAGUGGGUCAUUUCCCUGCAUCCUGGAGAUCAAAGCAAAGGAAGGAAACAGUCACUGCAAGCAAACUGAGGUGAUCUUGGACCAAACUGGAAGGAAGAACCUAGAAGGAGGUGAACUCCAGCCAAAUGGGUCUCCUCUCUCCCUGGAUCAUCUAUCUUCUUCCUCCUGCGAUAGUCUAAAGAUUAUCUCAUCCAAGGUUCAGGAAUCACUUGGAUGAAUUCAGCUCCUCCUUGGAUCCACCUAUGUUGUAUCUGGUUACAUGAUCCAGGCAUACCUUUAUACUCCCUUCCUUUUCCACCUCCUCAUUCUCUCUUGUGUCUCCAGGUAGGUCUUAUAUCUUCUCUUGUAAGAGUUAAAAUAUAUUAAAUAAA